ensembl:snRNA U6 U6 spliceosomal RNA
GUGGUCUUUGGCAGCACACACCACCAAAUUGGAAUCACACUGAGAAGAGUAGCGUGGCCCCUGCGCCAGGGUGACAGUCUGUGACAGUCUGUGAAGCAUCCCAGU